rnacentral:tRNA from 1 species
GGAGGGGUAGUCAAGCCUGGCCAAAGAAAGCAUCAUGCUUUUGGCUCAGGAGUUCGAGGGUUCGAAUCCCUCCCCCUCCA